rnacentral:tRNA from 1 species
GGCUCCUUAGUUCAGUGGUAGAAUGUCAGUUUUGUAACCUGAGGACGUUGGUUCGAGUCCGACAGGAGCCUCA